ACUCAAAGGAAUAGACGGGGACCCGCACAAGUAGCGGAGCAUGUGGUUUAAUUCGAAGCAACGCGAAGAACCUUACCUACACUUGACAUCCCUUGCAUUACUCUUAAUCGAGGAAAUCCCUUCGGGGACAAGGUGACAGGUGGUGCAUGGUUGUCGUCAGCUCGUGUCGUGAGAUGUUGGGUUAAGUCCCGCAACGAGCGCAACCCUUGUCGUUAGUUACUACCAUUAAGUUGAGGACUCUAGCGAGACUGCCUGGGUUAACCAGGAGGAAGGUGGGGAUGACGUCAAAUCAUCAUGCCCCUUAUGUGUAGGGCUACACACGUGCUACAAUGGCUGGUACAGAGAGAUGCAAUACCGCGAGGUGGAGCCAAACUUAAAAACCAGUCUCAGUUCGGAUUGUAGGCUGAAACUCGCCUACAUGAAGCUGGAGUUACUAGUAAUCGCGAAUCAGAAUGUCGCGGUGAAUACGUUCCCGGGUCUUGUACACACCGCCCGU
rnacentral:rRNA from 1 species